CGGCAGCACGGGAGCAAUCCUGGUGGCGAGUGGCGAACGGGUGAGUAAAGUAUCGGAACGUGCCCAGUCGUGGGGGAUAACGUAGCGAAAGUUACGCUAAUACCGCAUACGAUCUAUGGAUGAAAGCGGGGGAUCGCAAGACCUCGCGCGAUUGGAGCGGCCGAUAUCAGAUUAGGUAGUUGGUGGGGUAAAGGCUCACCGAGCCGACGAUCUGUAGCUGGUCUGAGAGGACGACCAGCCACACUGGGACUGAGACACGGCCCAGACUCCUACGGGAGGCAGCAGUGGGGAAUUUUGGACAAUGGGCGCAAGCCUGAUCCAGCCAUGCCGCGUGCAGGAUGAAGGCCUUCGGGUUGUAAACUGCUUUUGUACGGAACGAAAAGGUUUGGCCUAAUACGCUGAACUCAUGACGGUACCGUAAGAAUAAGCACCGGCUAACUACGUGCCAGCAGCCGCGGUAAUACGUAGGGUGCGAGCGUUAAUCGGAAUUACUGGGCGUAAAGCGUGCGCAGGCGGUUAUGUAAGACAGAUGUGAAAUCCCCGGGCUCAACCUGGGAACUGCAUUAGUGACUGCAUAGCUGGAGUACGGCAGAGGGGGAUGGAAUUCCGCGUGUAGCAGUGAAAUGCGUAGAUAUGCGGAGGAACACCGAUGGCGAAGGCAAUCCCCUGGGCCUGUACUGACGCUCAUGCACGAAAGCGUGGGGAGCAAACAGGAUUAGA
rnacentral:rRNA from 1 species